GGAUGAAGAACGUAGUGAAAUGCGAUAAGUAAUGUGAAUUGCAGAAUUCAGUGAAUCAUCGAAUCUUUGAACGCACAUUGCGCCCGCCAGUAUUCUGGCGGGCAUGCCUGUUCGAGCGUCAUUUCAACCAUCAAGCCCCAGGCUUGUGUUGGGGACCUGCGGCUGCCGCAGGCCCUGAAAACCAGUGGCGGGCUCGCUGUCACACCGGGCGUAGUAGAUUUUAUCUCGCUCAGGGCGUGCUGCGGGUUCCGGCCGUUAAAAAGCCUUUUUUACCCAAGGUUGACCUCGGAUCAGGUAGGAAUACCCGCUGAACUUAAGCAUAUCAAUAAGCGGAGGA
rnacentral:misc_RNA from 1 species